GAGUGGGAGGGCAGAAGGCAGCGAGGGGGGGAGGAGGAAUGACUGAAAUCCAGUCCUCUUGUGCUGCGCAGGCGCAGAGCUCACACUCGCGCUAUUCUAGCACACACUGUCUCUCGCCUGCCAACUACAGAAAAAAGAGGAGAAAAGAGAGGAAAGGAGAGGAAAGGAGAACAUAUAAACACUCAGAGCGGACUCUCCCCCCUCCCCCCCACCCUGCUGAAGGACCCUUGAAAUAAGCAACACCACAGAGAGCUGGUUAAAUUAUUAACCUUAUCUCCUGUACCGGGCUGUAGCUCUGGUCGCUGCAAUCUGGAUGAUUGGGAGCACAUUCUGGAGUGGCCAGUGACUCCAGAGAGCGUUAAGUCUUCAGCGUGCCACGGGGACUGGCGUGAGUACGUGGAAGAGACUCGUAGCAAACGCGCUGGAGACAGAUAAGCUUUUGGAGUUAUUCGGAGGCAUGCGGCGGAGGGCUAGGGCUGUUCCUCUCUCUCUUGUCAGGCACUCCUCGGCUCCGAGCGUUACACCAACCGUCCAGCUAUUUUGGCAAUGGUUUUGGGUGAGACCUCGCUGCUUUCCUAGAAGACAAGCAGCUGCCGCAAGUCCAGCAUGGUGUGAUUUGAAAUCAGAGAAACUCUCGACUGGUUCUACGAUUUGACCUUGUUAAGGCUACACAAUUAAAACAAUAGUUCUCACUGAAGUAAAUAAACACUGCAGGAGUUAAAAUGGUGAGAGGUUCGUAAAAGAAAUAGAUCUGAAGAAAUCUGUGUUGCAACUCGCUUCCCCUGUCCUCUAAGGUUCCUGCACGCAGACGUGCUCCACCCACUCUGCAAAACCAGAUUUGCAUGUGCACGACACGCACAUACAUGCACAGAUUACAGACACAGCAUUUGCAUGCGUGUGCACAUGUAACACGUGCAUGCACAUAACACACACCUAGAAAUCUACACACACACACACAAAUAAACGACAUGGCAGAACAUCUCUGAUGUUUUAUAGAUUAUUCUUUAUCUUAUUGUCAGUCUCUCUCUUUCCUCUCCCCCCUCCUCUCUCUUUCCUCUCCCUCCCUCCCUCCCUCUCUCUUUUUCUGUCCCGCCAUUCUCUGCUCUGCGAGCAGCAUUUGGGCUUUUUCCAUUUGUGGCAGAUUACUGUAACACUAUUGUAAAAACAACUUCCUGCCUAAUUUGGCUCAGGUUCCCAAAAAACAACAAAGCUUGGGCUCACUGUUGUAACUUUUCCCCAUCUCUCUGCCCGAAGUUUCAGGGGUUAUAGAAAGAAAGAGAAAUCAGUCAAUUCUCUCUCCUGUCGUGGACUUAAUUCUGAUGCAUUCGUCCUCUAAAGCUACAGAGGAGAAAAGAGGGGGGUGAGGGGACUGCAUGCUGAAAAGACCUCAGAGGGCACUCCCCAUCGAGGAGGGGACAAAGGACCUGACCCUGGGGUCAAAAGAGUUACACGGGAGGCCAGGCAGGUCCAUUGAGGAUCCCAGUGCUGUUUGCUUUAAGAAGAUCAUUCAAAUAUUUAUCAGCAGCAACAGCAUUACGACCCCUAUACCAGAGUAACAUCUUACAAACUGCCACGAGGCUAAAGUUCUGCUCACAAAAUGGUGGACGUGCAUGCGCAGUAUCAAUCCUCUAGACACUAAGUUGCACAAUGUGCUUUCAUACGCUUUUUAUGUUUUUAACUUCACUUUUCACUUUCCUCAUUGUCUUCAGACCUUAUGCAUCAUACAUCAAAGUUGGUCAAAUAAGAUAUUAUUGUGUACGUGUGUGUGUGUGUGUGUGUGUGUGUGUGUGUGUGUGUGUGUGUGUGUGUGUGUGUGUGUGUGUGUGUGUGUGUGUGUGUGUGUGUGUGUGGGUGGGUGGAUGGAGGAGCGGAGGUACUGACUCAACAAUACAGUGUGUAUCCUUAUAGAACAACUUUACAUCUUAGCAAACUAUUAAUGACAAUAUCAUAUCAAACAUGUUUUAAUUGUGCAAUGUUAGAGCUGAUCAAAGUUGUUUUUAAGAUAGAUUGUAUUGGGUAUUGGCUGUAAUUUUUCCCCACAAAAAUUAGAAGAAACUGUCCUGUCAUGAAAUGUGACUCGUUUUGUUAUAAAUAAAGAUCUACAAUAUAGAAAUAAACCAGAAUUUAGAAGGCUUAUAAUACUGUAUACAUUUUGUCUUACAUAAAAAUCAUGUAAUAAAUAUAAUCUUUCUCUACGGGUAAAGUCCAGAGAUGUUUGACUGUAGAGAAGCAUGAUUGCUCUGUGUGAAUAUGUUGACACUGCAUUUGCAAUUUAAUGUUUAUUUGUACUAAACAACUUCUUAAAUAAAAUGUUGAAUCAAGUAUUGAAUUAAAUUGAUGUGGAUCAACCUGUAUCUUUUCCUUGUUGU